AUUGAACGCUGGCGGCAGGCCUAACACAUGCAAGUCGAGCGGAUGAAGGGAGCUUGCUCCUGGAUUCAGCGGCGGACGGGUGAGUAAUGCCUAGGAAUCUGCCUGGUAGUGGGGGAUAACGUCCGGAAACGGGCGCUAAUACCGCAUACGUCCUGAGGGAGAAAGUGGGGGAUCUUCGGACCUCACGCUAUCAGAUGAGCCUAGGUCGGAUUAGCUAGUUGGUGGGGUAAAGGCCUACCAAGGCGACGAUCCGUAACUGGUCUGAGAGGAUGAUCAGUCACACUGGAAGUGAGACACGGUACAGACUCCUACGGGAGGCAGCCGUGGGGAAUAUUGGACCAUGGGCGAAGACCUGAUCCAGCCAUGCCGCGUGUGUGAAGAAGGUAUUCGGAUUGCAAAGCACUUUAAGUUGGGAGGAAGGGCAGUAAGUUAAUACAUUGCUGUUUUGACGUUACCAACAGAAUAAGCACCGGCUAACUUCGUG
rnacentral:rRNA from 1 species